UUUAUUGAGAGUUUGAUCCUGGCUCAGGACGAACGCUGGCGGCGUGCCUAAUACAUGCAAGUCGAACGCUUUGAUUUCCACCGGAGCUUGCUCCACCGAAAAUCAAAGAGUGGCGGACGGGUGAGUAACACGUGGGCAACCUGCCCAACAGAGGGGGAUAACACUUGGAAACAGGUGCUAAUACCGCAUAAUUUGUU
rnacentral:rRNA from 1 species